AGAGUUUGAUCCUGGCUCAGAACGAACGCUGGCGGCGUGCUUAAUACAUGCAAGUCGAACGAGAGGUCCUGACUUCGGUUAGGAUAGUAAAGUGGCGACCGGGUGAGUAACACGUGGACAAUCUGCCUGUGCGCGGGGGAUAAGCCUUCGAAAGGAGGUCUAAUACCGCAUAACAUCGCUGGCCGGCAUCGGCCGGCGCUCAAAGACGGUGCAAGCUGUCACGCACAGAUGAGUCCGCGGUUCAUUAGCUAGUUGGCGGGGUAACGGCCCACCAAGGCGACGAUGAAUAGCCGGCCUGAGAGGGUGAUCGGCCACACUGGGACUGAGAUACGGCCCAGACUCCUACGGGAGGCAGCAGUAGGGAAUAUUGCGCAAUGGACGAAAGUCUGACGCAGCAACGCCGCGUGAAUGAUGAAGCAUUUCGGUGUGUAAAAUUCUGUCGCCGGGGAAGAACCGGGUGAGGAGUCACUGCCUUGCCCCUGACGGUACCCGGAAAGGAAGUCCCGGCUAACUCCGUGCCAGCAGCCGCGGUAAUACGGGGGGGACAAGCGUUGUUCGGAUUUAUUGGGCGUAAAGGGCGCGUAGGCGGGCAGACAAGUCGGAUGUGAAACCUCCGGGCUCAACCCGGAGCCUGCAUUCGAUACUGUCUGUCUUGAGUAUCGGAGAGGAGUGUGGAAUUCCAGGUGUAGCGGUGAAAUGCGUAGAUAUCUGGAAGAACACCGAUGGCGAAGGCAGCACUCUGGACGAAUACUGACGCUGAGGCGCGAAGGCUUGGGGAGCAAACAGGAUUAGAUACCCUG
rnacentral:rRNA from 1 species